CACGUAGGGCGCAAGCGUUGUCCGGGAAUUAUUGGGCGUAAAGGAGCGUGUAGGCGGCUUUACAGGUCCGUUGUGAAAACUCGAGGCUCAACCUCGAGACGCCGGUGGAAACCGUAAAGCUAGAGUCCGGAAGAGGAGAGUGGAAUUCCUGGUGUAGCGGUGAAAUGCGCAGAUAUCAGGAGGAACACCGGUGGCGAAGGCGGGUCUCUGGGCAGUAACUGACGUGAGGAGCGAAAGCGUGGGGGAGCAACAGG
rnacentral:rRNA from 1 species